AGAGUUUGAUCAUGGCUCAGAUUGAACGCUGGCGGUAUGCUUAACACAUGCAAGUCGAACGGUAACAGUCCCUCACCUAGAAAUUUCUUAAAAAGAGAUUUGUAGGUGAGGGAGCUGACGAGUGGCGGACGGGUGCGUAAUGUAUAGGAAUCUGCCUGGUAGUGGGGGACAACUCGGAGAAAUUCGAGCUAAUACCGCAUAAGCCCUACGGGGGAAAACGGGGGAUCUUCGGACCUCGUGCUAUUAGAUGGGCCUAUAUUAGAUUAGCUUGUUGGUGAGGUAAUGGCUUACCAAGGCGACGAUCUAUAGCUGGUCUGAGAGGAUGAUCAGCCACACUGGGACUGAGACACGGCCCAGACUCCUACGGGAGGCAGCAGUGGGGAAUAUUGGACAAUGGGCGAAAGCCUGAUCCAGCAAUACCGCGUGUGUGAAGAAGGCCUGAGGGUUGUAAAGCACUUUCAAUUGGGAGGAAUACCUAAUAGUUAAUAGCUAUUAGAUUGACA
rnacentral:rRNA from 1 species